rnacentral:rRNA from 1 species
AUACGGAGGAUGCGAGCGUUAUCCGGAUUUAUUGGGUUUAAAGGGUGCGUAGGCGGCAGAUUAAGUCAGCGGUAAAAGCCCGGGGCUCAACUCCGGCGAGCCGUUGAAACUGGUUUGCUUGAGAGGUCGAGAGGCAUGCGGAAUGCGCAGUGUAGCGGUGAAAUGCAUAGAUAUUGCGCAGAACUUCGAUUGCGAAGGCAGCAUGCCGGCGGCUAUCUGACGCUGAGGCACGAAAGCGUGGGUAUCGAACAGGAUUAGAUACCCUGGUAGUCCACGCAGUAAACGAUGAAUACUGGCUGUGUGAUCCGAGAGGGGAUUGCGUGGCGUAGCGAAAGCGUUAAGUAUUCCACCUGGGGAGUAGGCCGGCAACGGUGAAACUCAAAUGAAUUGGCGGGG